GAUGAACGCUGGCGGCGUGCUUAGCACAUGCAAGUCGAACGGUGAACGAGGGAGCUUGCUCCCUCCGGAUCAGUGGCGAACGGGUGAGUAACACGUGAGCAAUCUGCCCUGGACUCUGGGAUAAGCGUUGGAAACGACGUCUAAUACCGGAUACGAGGCGUGGGGGCAUCCCCAACGCCUGGAAAGAACUUCGGUCCAGGAUGAGCGUCGCGGCCUAUCAGGUAGUUGGUGAGGUAAUGGCUCACCAAGCCUACGACGGGUAGCCGGCCUGAGAGGGUGACCGGCCACACGUGGACUGAGACACGGCCCAGACUCCUACGGGAGGCAGCAGUGGGGAAUAUUGCACAAUGGGCGAAAGCCUGAUGCAGCAACGCCGCGUGAGGGACGACGGCCUUCGGGUUGUAAACCUCUUUUAGCAGGGAAGAAGCGAAAGUGACGGUACCUGCAGAAAAAGCACCGGCUAACUACGUGCCAGCCGCCGCUGUAAUAC
rnacentral:rRNA from 1 species